AUUGAACGCUGGCGGCAGGCCUAACACAUGCAAGUCGAACGGUAACAGGAAGCAGCUUGCUGCUUUGCUGACGAGUGGCGGACGGGUGAGUAAUGUCUGGGAAACUGCCCGAUGGAGGGGGAUAACUACUGGAAACGGUAGCUAAUACCGCAUAACGUCGCAAGACCAAAGAGGGGGACCUUAGGGCCUCUUGCCAUCGGAUGUGCCCAGAUGGGAUUAGCUAGUAGGUGGGGUAACGGCUCACCUAGGCGACGAUCCCUAGCUGGUCUGAGAGGAUGACCAGCCACACUGGAACUGAGACACAGUCCAGACUCCUACGGGAGGCAGCAGUGGGGAAUAUUGCACAAUGGGCGCAAGCCUGAUGCAGCCAUGCCGCGUGUAUGAAGAAGGCCUUCGGGUUGUAAAGUACUUUCAGCGGGGAGGAAGGGAGUAAAGUUAAUACCUUUGCUCAUUGACGUUACCCGCAGAAGAAGCACCGGCUAACUCCGUG
rnacentral:rRNA from 1 species